UGAGGAAUAUUGGUCAAUGGGCGGAAGCCUGAACCAGCCAUUCCGCGCGAAGGAAGACGGCCCUACGGGUUGUAAACUUCUUUUGUACGGGAAAAAAUCUCCGGUCGUGAAUCGGAGCUGAUGGUACCGUAAGAAUAAGCAUCGGCUAACUCCGUGCUAGCAGCCGCGGUAAUACGGAGGAUGCAAGCGUUAUCCGGAUUCAUUGGGUUUAAAGGGUGCGCAGGCGGAAUGAUAAGUCAGUGGUGAAAUCCUACGGCUCAACUGUAGAACUGCCAUUGAUACUGUCGUUCUUGAGUACACUUGGAGUGGGCGUAAUGUGUCAUGUAGCGGUGAAAUGCUUAGAUAUGACACAGAACACCGAUCGCGAAGGCAGCUCACUAAAUUGUAACUGACGCUCAGGCACGAAAGCGUGGGGAUCAAACA
rnacentral:rRNA from 1 species